rnacentral:tRNA from 1 species
CGGGAUGUAGCGCAGUAUGGUUAGCGCACCAAGCUGGGGGCUUGGGGGUCGCUGGUUCGAGUCCAGUCAUCCCGACCA